UGAAGUGUUAAGAGAGGUUGUUGGAAG
rnacentral:piRNA from 1 species